AGAAGAGCUAUUGUCUAACCACCCAGAGCACAGCCUUGUGUAUAUAAGGACCACACUUAAGCAGUGUGGAAACAGAGGUUGGAGGCAUCUAGGCCUGAUGAGUCCUUGGCAGCCUCUUAGAAUCCUUAUACCCUAGUAUGGGGUUCGGAAAGAGCCAAGAAUUCUUGUACUCCCCAAAAAGAGUCUGGCGGUGUUCAUGAGGGCUGGUGACCUGGAAAAGGCAUUCUGAUUGGGAUGACAAGGAUGCAGAGUCUAGAGCUGACAGCAGGGUGUGAUUGCUGAAACACAAGAAAGAGAGAAGAACUUUGCCCCCUUCUCCCAGUGCCAGCAGCCCAGAGGUAGCAGGAUCCUGUUGAAGAUGGGUAAUGUGCCAACAUCAUAACAAGGUUCAAGGGAGGCACAUCUCAUACGAGUGUGAAAAGGCAAUCAUCAUGCUUAUGAACUACAAGAUUAUCCUAUAUAUUCAUUUUCAAUUAUUUUAUCCUCCUCUGCCUCUUGCCCUGGACUAUAUAAGACCUGCAAUAUAAUGUUGAAUAAGGAAGGUGAAAACGAACAUCAUUGCAUCACUCCUGAUAUCAAAGCCGGUCCUAGACUGGAUGGAGACCAACAGUAGAGACGUGGGCUGGGAGCUUGACUGUCGGAAAACUUGGAUUAUGAUCUCCAAACUUCCUCCUACCAGGAAGAGCAUGAGUUUUGAGUCCGAGAGCUCUGGGUUUCCAGAAGGAGCCGUUUUCCCAUGCCCCACUCACACGAUCCUGGAAAAGGAGAGCAACCCGAGAUGCCCCAGGUUAGGGACAGGCCUGUGUGACCUUGUGUUUCAACAAAUGGAUCACAAACAAUGCAACCUGCACCUCUCCGGCCUUCCCCACCCAGUCGGAGUUCUCCGCUCC
rnacentral:lncRNA from 1 species